AUUAACUAAUUCAAUACCACAUUGGUUAAAGAAAAGGGGAACUGUUCUUGAAGAGUUCCUGUAGUUGAAAGUUCCUUAGUAUUCUCUUUGCUCGCAUUUUGUUUUUAACCACUACACUGUUGUUGAAUGCUGUUUGAUUAUCGAUAGUGUUUUGUGAUGCAGAAUAAAAUUACAGAAAUGACCAACAACAGUGAAGAACAACAGACCUCAUCUUCCACCGAGGAGACCAUCAUAGAGGUGGUAAUUCAACCACCAACAACAGAGGCCAAGGUUGAAUGUGAUGCUCCCCCCGCUGUGAUCACCACUCAGCCAGCACAGUCUAAAAUAAAAUUACAGAAAUGACCAACAGCAGUGAAGAACAACAGACCUCAUCUUCCACCAAGGAGACCAUCAUAGAGGUGGUAAUUCAACCACCAACCACAGAGGCCAAGGUUGAAUGUGAUGUUCCCCCCGCUGUGAUCACCACUCAGCCAGCACAGUCUAAAUGCAGAAUAAAAUUACAGAAAUGACCAACAACAGUGAAGAACAACAGACCUCAUCUUCCACCGAGGAGACCAUCAUAGAGGUGGUAAUUCAACCACCAACAACAGAGGCCAAGGUUGAAUGUGAUGCUCCCCCCGCUGUGAUCACCACUCAGCCAGCACAGUCUAAAUGCAGAAUAAAAUUACAGAAAUGACCAACAACAGUGAAGAACAACAGACCUCAUCUUCCACCAAGGAGACCAUCAUAGAGGUGGUCAUUCAACCACCAACAACAGAGGCCAAGGUUGAAUGUGAUGCUCCCCCCGCUGUGAUCACCACUCAGCCAGCACAGUCGAUGCAGAAUAAAAUUACAGAAAUGACCAACAACAGUGAAGAACAACAGACCUCAUCUUCCACCAAGGAGACCAUCAUAGAGGUGGU